AGCGAACGCUGGCGGCGUGCUUAACACAUGCAAGUCGAGGGAGAACGGCGGGCUUCGGCCUUCCUAGUAAACCGGCGCACGGGUGAGUAACACGUAGGUAACCUACCUUCGAGACCGGGAUAACCUAUCGAAAGAUGGGCUAAUACCGGAUAUGACCACAGGAGUCUCGGCUCCUGCGGUGAAAGAUGGCCUCUGCUUGCAAGCUAUCACUCGAGGAUGGGCCUGCGCGCCAUUAGCUAGUUGGUGAGGUAACGGCUCACCAAGGCUACGAUGGCUAGUUGGUCUGAGAGGAUGACCAGCACACUGGGACUGAGACACGGCCCAGACUCC
rnacentral:rRNA from 1 species